GACGAACGCUGGCGGCGUGCUUAACACAUGCAAGUCGAACGAAGUGGCGAACGGGUGAGUAACGCGUAAUUAACCUGCCCUUCAGAGGGGGACAACAGUUGGCAACGACUGCUAAUACCGCAUACUGAAGGAGGGGAUUGCGUCUGAUUAGCUAGUUGGAGGGGUAACGGCCCACCAAGGGGAUGAUCAGUCGCCGGUCGGAAAGGAGAAUAAGUCACACUGGAACUGGGAGACGGUCCAGACUCCUACGGGAGGCAGAAGUGGGGAAUAUUGGACAAUGGGCGAAGGCCUAAUCCAGCCAUGCCGCGUGUGUGAAGAAGGUCGUCGGAUUGUAAAGCACUUUAAGUUGGGAGGCGUUACCAACAGAAUAAGCACCGGCUAACUUCGUGCCAGCAGCCGCGGUAAUUC
rnacentral:rRNA from 1 species